GUGGAUGGUAUCUUUCUCUCACAUGCCUCUCAUCUUUCUUUCUCAAUUGGGUUGACUUAUCAUUUCCCUCAAGAGAGGUAUGUGCCACCUAUUUAUACUAGUGUCCUUCCCUUUCCAAUAUGGAUUUGGAUUAAGUUUCCUAAAUCUCCAUCUAAGUCAGGACUGGAAUAACAAAUCUAAUCCCCAACUUCCAAACUUACAGAGAUACAUCAAAUAGGAAAGUCCUUGUAUCCUAAUCCUAAUGGGAUACUUUCCGGUAGCAAAUCCUCUUUUCUUCUAUUGAAUUCAAGCACGAAGUUGGGCCCACAUGGUUCUACCCCAUAUGUAUAUUUUUAAGUUUGCAUUCAAUAUAUCUUAUAUUUUAUCAAAUUCUUUUUCUUGGGCAAAUCAGUGAUGAAGAGGUUCCGUACUUUUUUCCAUUAAUUUAGAGUUGAUACAUUAAUUCCAAGGGGCAACCCUUUGUGGCGUAAAACUUGAUUCAUCAGAAAAAAGAAGCAGCAAACUAAAGCCAGGAGGUCUUGUGUGGCAAAUU
rnacentral:lncRNA from 1 species